UCGGUGACACGGACGGAGGUGGAGCGUUCCGGACAAAGGGGACAAGGGCGCUGAGGCCCAGAGCGUCCUGCUGCGGGAGGGAGGGGGCCGCGGGGAGCCGCCGAUCGCCCGCACUGGUAGGCUGGCUUUCCUGGUGGAGCCCCCGGCGUCCAGUGCGUGGACGCCCUCCCUGCUCUUUACCUCCCCGCCAGCAGCAGGCAGACCUCCUUCCUCCUGGGGUCACAGGAUGGCGGUCCCGGCUGCAGUCAGGCCGACACUCAGCGCCCAGGAGGGCAAGGGAGCCGCCCCCCUCGCCCUCCCCGCCUGGAACUGGCUUCGGACACCUAGACCCGUCACCGGGAGGGAAAUGAAGCCCAUCAGGGUUUGUCUCGGGGCCGGGCCUCCGCUCCUAGCACCCAGGAAGAGGAGAUCAGGACACAGUCAUGCAGACCGACGGCCCGUGAGGACGUGGGGAGAAGUCUGCAAGCCAGGGACGAGCCGGCUCUGCUCACUCCUUGAUGUGGGACUUCCAGCCUCAGACCGUGAGAAAAUAAAUCCCUGUCACUUAAGUGCCUGCUCUUCAGUCUUUGCUACAGCGGCCCCAGGAACGCAUGCAGUGGCGGUCCGAGGGCGGGUAUCCCCGCCCAGGGUGGGGGUGCUGGUGAAGUGGGCGGCCCCUGGGUGGGGUCUAGCUCUUACCCCUUUGUGUGUUGUGGGUGCCACUGUCUGCAUCCUGUUCCAGGAGAGAAGGGGUGGGGGCAGGGCUGAGCAUCUGCAGCCUGUCUACUUGUGUGCGGGGGGUUUGUCCUGACACCCCUUCCUGCCAUCGCCUGGGCCUGGGGGCUGUUCUUGGAGGUCAGCAGGGUCUUUCCCACGCUCUGGCUGAACCUCGGGCACUUACCUGCCUCCCAGGCCUUCUCUCCUUCACCUGUGGAGCAGGGUGGCCAUGAGAGGCUUUGGAGGGCAGCUGUGAGUCCGGAUCACGGUGAGAGGCAAGGGUGCUGCCCAAGGGGCCAGAAACGGGCAAGGGUGCGUCUGGUGCUGCGAGGAGGCGGUGUCGUCACCCCAGUGUCGAGAGCAGGGAGGCGUCUGCGGGCUGGGCACGGGUGGGCGGAGGUCCUGGACUCACGCCGGCUCUGCCCCCCGCCCUCCGGCCGCCUGCCCCCUCCAGGCAGGUCUAAGGGGACACAAGAAGGUGGGGACUCCCCCACAACAAGACACUAGAACACAGGUGAUUUCUCCCUGAGGGCCUUCCCAGGGCCACAGACCCAGCAGGCUCACAAUCUGAUGAGAACUCAGCCGUAACUGUGAUACCUGCUGGCCCCCGGCCUGGGUCUGACACCCAUGAGUGCUCUGUGCUGGCCUAGCAGGCCCCGCAGUGUCACCAAGGUCUCAUCUCCGCGCCUAGCAGGCGCCUCCGUCUGCUGGAACUGCCCAGCACCUGCAAUGAGCCGCUUUCUGCUCCAGGCCCCGGCCCUCCCCCCAGUGCUGGGUGCCCGGUUGAGGGGUGGCCAAGGCCCUCUGAAGCACCUGCUGACUGCUGCCUGCAGAGACCUACCCCAGCCCGGAACUUGGAAGCAAGCACCCAGCCGCUGGUGAUAAACCUCUUGUGUGCGCCCCUGCGGGUGCUCCCCAUCCAGGGCUGGUGGCCUCCCCGACAGACGAUACUUUCCAGGGGCCUGAAAAGGACUGGCUUUGGGCUGCAAGGCUUGCCUUAGGAUCGGAGCUCCAAAAGGAGUCAGAGAUGGGAAGAUCCACUUUGAAGACAGGAUGGGGGACAAGUACAGAAACCUAGACGGUACAGAAAAUUGGCUUGGCCCUUUCUUCUAAAGAUUUCAGGAGAAAUUGUAUAGAACUAUCUCAGAAGCAAGGGUUCUCCCCCAGAAUCCUUCCUCCCCACGUGGUCCUCACCCUCGACAAGUCAGCUGCGAGUACGUAUCCCUGUUUGAGGGGAGGGAAGCAUGGCUCUGAGGGGCUGCUGAGGGCAGAGCAUUGCCGCAGAGAACCUCUCGGGCCCUGAAACUGGGUGGACUCUUCCCCGCUGAACUCUGGACUUAAUUGGAACAGAGAGCUCUUGAUUUCUUCCAGUGUCUCCCUUUAGGAAUGGAAACGUCUGUCCUAUGCUUGUCCCACCAUUGCAUUUUGGAAGCAGAUAACUUGUUUCUAGAGACACAGGUCCACCAAUGGAGAACUUUGCGUCAGGCUGGGUCAAACCUGGAAUCUCACCCAGACCCGAGUUACCCAAUGGGUCUUGCACUUCUGAGCUGAUGACAUUUAGAUGAGAUUUUUGGACUCAGUCAAGCUCUAAUGGGGAUCUUCCAGACCCAGGGAUCGAACCAGUGUCUCUUGCAUUGGCAGGUGGAUUCUUUACCACUAAUGCCACACAAUCAUCCCACAUUAAGAGACUUAGCUACUGGACCACCAGGGAAGUCCCACAGAUGUCCUUGUAAGGGAAGAAAAGGGUAGAAGACACAGAUGAAAAGGUGGCGUGAUGAUGGAGGUAGAGCUUGGAGCGAUGCCUCUGCAGACCGUGAGAUGCC